rnacentral:rRNA from 1 species
AUUGAACGCUGGCGGCAGGCUUAACACAUGCAAGUCGAGCGGGGGAAGGUAGCUUGCUACUGGACCUAGCGGCGGACGGGUGUGUAAUGCUUAGGAAUCUGCCUAUUAGUGGGGGACAACAUCUCGAAAGGGAUGCUAAUACCGCAUACGUCCUACGGGAGAAAUCAGGGGAUCUUCGGACCUUGCGCUAAUAGAUGAGCCGAAGUCGGAUUAGCUAGUUGGUGGGGUAAAGGCCUACCAAGGCGACGAUCUGUAGCGGGUCUGAGAGGAUGAUCCGCCACACUGGGACUGAGACACGGCCCAGACUCCUACGGGAGGCAGCAGUGGGGAAUAUUGGACAAUGGGGGGAACCCUGAUCCAGCCAUGCCGCGUGUGUGAAGAAGGCCUUAUGGUUGUAAAGCACUUUAAGCGAGGAGGAGGCUACUCUAGUUAAUACCUAGGGAUAGUGGACGUUACUCGCAGAAUAAGCACCGGCUAACUCUGUGCCAGCCGCCGCAGAA